CAAGAGGUUCCCUGGUAACAUCAGCAAGGUUGAUAGAAUCAUUGUAGGGCAUAAAUUGAUAGCUGCCACUUCUAUUCUUCCAACACAUUGGAAAUCUUCAACUAUCCCUUUGAUAAAGGAAACAUUAUAUACCAUCUUGGAGAGUAAACGACACGAAUGAGCUAUUAGACAACCAUCCUCAUUUACAGAUAGCCUAAAAUAUUAUUG